AGAGUUUGAUCAUGGCUCAGAUUGAACGCUGGCGGCAGGCCUAACACAUGCAAGUCGAACGGUAACAGGAAGCAGCUUGCUGCUUCGCUGACGAGUGGCGGACGGGUGAGUAAUGUCUGGGAAGCUGCCUGAUGGAGGGGGAUAACUACUGGAAACGGUAGCUAAUACCGCAUAAUGUCGCAAGACCAAAGAGGGGGACCUUCGGGCCUCUUGCCAUCGGAUGUGCCCAGAUGGGAUUAGCUUGUUGGUGGGGUAACGGCUCACCAAGGCGACGAUCCCUAGCUGGUCUGAGAGGAUGACCAGCCACACUGGAACUGAGACACGGUCCAGACUCCUACGGGAGGCAGCAGUGGGGAAUAUUGCACAAUGGGCGCAAGCCUGAUGCAGCCAUGCCGCGUGUAUGAAGAAGGCCUUCGGGUUGUAAAGUACUUUCAGCGGGGAGGAAGGGAGUAAAGUUAAUACCUUUGCUCAUUGACGUUACCCGCAGAAGAAGCACCGGCUAACUCCGUGCCAGCAGCCGCGGUAAUACGGAGGGUGCGAGCGUUAAUCGGAAUUACUGGGCGUAAAGCGCACGCAGGCGGUUUGUUAAGUCAGAUGUGAAAUCCCCGGGCUCAACCUGGGAACUGCAUCUGAUACUGGCAAGCUUGAGUCUCGUAGAGGGGGGUAGAAUUCCAGGUGUAGCGGUGAAAUGCGUAGAGAUCUGGAGGAAUACCGGUGGCGAAGGCGGCCCCCUGGACGAAGACUGACGCUCAGGUGCGAAAGCGUGGGGAGCAAACAGGAUUAGAUACCCUGGUAGUCCACGCCGUAAACGAUGUCGACUUGGAGGUUGUGCCCUUGAGGCGUGGCUUCCGGAGCUAACGCGUUAAGUCGACCGCCUGGGGAGUACGGCCGCAAGGUUAAAACUCAAAUGAAUUGACGGGGGCCCGCACAAGCGGUGGAGCAUGUGGUUUAAUUCGAUGCAACGCGAAGAACCUUACCUGGUCUUGACAUCCACGGAAGUUUUCAGAGAUGAGAAUGUGCCUUCGGGAACCGUGAGACAGGUGCUGCAUGGCUGUCGUCAGCUCGUGUUGUGAAAUGUUGGGUUAAGUCCCGCAACGAGCGCAACCCUUAUCCUUUGUUGCCAGCGGUCCGGCCGGGAACUCAAAGGAGACUGCCAGUGAUAAACUGGAGGAAGGUGGGGAUGACGUCAAGUCAUCAUGGCCCUUACGACCAGGGCUACACACGUGCUACAAUGGCGCAUACAAAGAGAAGCGACCUCGCGAGAGCAAGCGGACCUCAUAAAGUGCGUCGUAGUCCGGAUUGGAGUCUGCAACUCGACUCCAUGAAGUCGGAAUCGCUAGUAAUCGUGGAUCAGAAUGCCACGGUGAAUACGUUCCCGGGCCUUGUACACACCGCCCGUCACACCAUGGGAGUGGGUUGCAAAAGAAGUAGGUAGCUUAACCUUCGGGAGGGCGCUUACCACUUUGUGAUUCAUGACUGGGGUGAAGUCGUAACAAGGUAACCGUAGGGGAACCUGCGGUUG
rnacentral:rRNA from 1 species